UCCCCUAGUAACGGCGAGUGAAGAGGGAAAAGCCCAGCACCGAAGCCUGCGGCAGUUUUGCUGUUAGGCAAUGUGGUGUUUGGGUCGGCUCGUGGGAUUGCCACUCCACUCGAAGUCCAGCAUUGAGUAUGGUCACUGGAUUUGGCCCAGAGAGGGUGAAAGGCCCGUACGGGUGGAGGUUCAGAAAUGAAAGGCAGUUCACCAGGCCGGCCUUAGAGUCGGGUUGUUUGAGAAUGCAGCCCAAAGCGGGUGGUAAACUCCAUCCAAGGCUAAAUACUAGCACGAGUCCGAUAGCGAACAAGUACCGUGAGGGAAAGUUGAAAAGUACUCUGAAGAGAGAGUAAACAGUACGUGAAACCGCAUGCAGGUAAACGGGUGGCGUCAAGCUGCAAGCAUGGAGGAUUCAGCCGGCUAGGAUGUUGUGUAUGCGCCUGGCGCAUCCAUCAGUCAGAGUAUGAUUGGAUAGUCCACUGGUAAACGGUGGGCCCAACCGCAAGGUUGGGAUGUGUGUACCGGGUGUGUGCCGGAGCGCGCUAUCCGUCUAUGGACUGUCUAGCCGGUGCACUUUCUCUGUGCUGACACCACGACCGGUGGAAUUGCCAGUCUGCUGUGUCCAAGUCGUACUCGGUCGGUCCUUGUGGCCAACUGGGUGCGAUCACAGGCAAACUCAGUAUACGGCGUAGAGGGGCUUCGGCUCUUUUGCGUGUUAUCGGCUACUGGUUGUCAACGGGCUGCCUAGUGUUUGUUGUAACCRGCACUUGGGCGGCCUGGUGGGACAUGGUGGUAAGAAUAACUGUGCAAGGCACCGGGUUUAUCGGCCUCAAAUGCACUCCGCGCCCACGUUACAAGUGGUGUAUGGCGGUGCUGUUGCUGCCUGCUCGUGGCUGGGUCUGAUUGUCGUGUCGCCUGCGCAAAGUGGGCCCGGCAGUGGCUCGACCCGAGAUGGGUAGUGGAUGGUGCUGUCUGUGUGGAGUGUGGUGGGCCUAAUAGUCAGUGGUGUAGUGGUAGACGAGCUACCCGACCCGUCUUGAAACACGGACCAAGGAGUUUAACAUGUAUGCAAGUCAAUGGGCGUUACGAAACCCAAAGGCGCAGUGAAAGUGAAGCUUCGACUUGUCUCGGAGUGAGGUGAGAUCCUGCUGUUACUCGCAUCAGCCUAAUGYCAGCAUCAGGCUAAGAGCAGUGGGCGCAUCACCGGCCCGUCCCAUGAUGUGGUCAUUGGAUGUCUGCGGUUGUUGCUUCGGCGGCGGCCGUGGUGCCAGUGCGUCAUCGGGGCGGAGCAUGAGCAUACAUGUUGAGACCCGAAAGAUGGUGAACUAUGCUUGCGUAGGUUGAAGCCAGAGGAAACUYUGGUGGAGGACCGCAGCGAUUYUGACGUGCAAAUCGAUCGUCAAACGUGAGCAUAGGGGCGAAAGACUAAUCGAACCAUYUAGUAGCUGGUUCCCUCCGAAGUUUCCCUCAGGAUAGCUGGCACUCAUUCGCACAAUCAGUUUUAUCCGGUAAAGCGAAUGAUUAGAGGUACUGGGUUCGAAACGAGCUCAACCUAUUYUCAAACUUUAAAUGGGUGAGAUGCCCGGCUCGCCUAAUAGGAGUCGGGCGUUGAAUGUGCGAGUGCCAAGUGGGCCAUUUUUGGUAAGCAGAACUGGCGCUGUGGGAUGAACCAAACGCUCGGUUAAGGUGCCUAACGCGACGCUCAUGAGACACCMCAAAAGGUGUUGGUUAAUAUAGACAGC
rnacentral:rRNA from 1 species